rnacentral:rRNA from 1 species
GACGAACGCUGGCGGCGUGCUUAACACAUGCAAGUCGAACGGAAAGGCUCCAGCUUGCUGGCGUACUCGAGUGGCGAACGGGUGAGUAACACGUGGGUAAUCUGCCCUGCACUCUGGAUAAGCCUGGGAAACUGGGUCUAAUACUGGAUAUGACCUUUCUCCUUAUGGGGUUUGGUGGAAAGUUUUUCGGUGUAGGAUGAGCCCGCGGCCUAUCAGCUUGUUGGUGGGGUGAUGGCCUACCAAGGCGACGACGGGUAGCCGGCCUGAGAGGGUGAUCGGCCACAUUGGGACUGAGAUACGGCCCAGACUCCUACGGGAGGCAGCAGUGGGGAAUAUUGCACAAUGGGCGGAAGCCUGAUGCAGCGACGCCGCGUGAGGGAUGACGGCCUUCGGGUUGUAAACCUCUUUCAGCAGGGACGAAGCGUAAGUGACGGUACCUGCAGAAGAAGCACCGGCUAACUAUGUG